rnacentral:rRNA from 1 species
UACGUAGGGGGCGAGCGUUGUCCGGAUUUAUUGGGCGUAAAGCGCACGUAGGCGGCUUUCUAAGUCGGGGGUGAAAUCCUGGAGCUCAACUCCAGAACUGCCUUCGAUACUGGAGAGCUCGAGUCCGGGAGAGGUGAGUGGAACUGGCGAGUGUAGAGGUGAAAUUCGUAGAUAUUCGCAAGAACACCAGUGGCGAAGGCGGCUCACUGGCCCGGUACUGACGCUGAGGUGCGAAAGCGUGGGGAGCAAACAGG